GCCUCGACCCGUUUCUCCAGCCCGUCGACCCGGCGACUGAACCCGAUCGGAACUUCCCUCGUCCGGCCACUUCACAGCGGCGCACUGGUCAUGCUCGAUGCGUCUUCUCAUCGUGGUUCCUCCUCUGGUCACGGAUCGUCCAUGCAUGGAGUAAGAAGAGAGAAUCGAAGCCCAAAAGCUUCGGGUUUUCCGGCGAAGCUUCUGCAGUUUCCGGCGAUCGUCGGGGUUGCGUGAGGUACCAAAAUUGAUCCCCUCGUUAUGGUCUCCACGUUAGUCUAAUUAGUUUUUCAAUAUGAUCGAUUUUGACUGUUUUGGUUUUGGGUGUUUACGGGUUCUGUUGGAACCACCGUGCACGGCGGCAUUUCUGGGCUUCUUGGUUUAUUUUCGAUGUUGGUAUUCGCCUGAGAGUGUGAGGUUGAGGCUUGAUCAUGCUAUAUUCGAUCACUUGAGAUAAGGACGCAUGCAAGCUCGAGAGUGAUCAUAGAGUAGCAGCGCUGUUGACAUCGAGCUACAGUGCGUUAUGCUCAGGGAUGGGACUCGAAGUUGAAUCUAGAAUCAACAGUCAUGAUUAACACAGUGAAGGACUCCAGUUACCCGAGGAACGGAAGAUUCGUGACUCUCAGAGUACGUGAAGAAAAGCAUCGGAAUCCAGUGUGGAUGUAGGUACUGUGCACUGGUGACGGGAUUGACGGACGGAGCAGGGUGCGCGGAGAUAGCUUCGGUGAAUAGUAGUAACUAAAUUCAGGUUCCGUGUCUAGUCUUGAACUCUAUCUCUUGAGAGUCGUUAAUUUGGAACUUGUUAUUCCUUAUUUCGUCUUGUAACGGAGUGUACCAACUCUUAUUUACCCUAGUGGAGAUCUAGAAGCGCUUUAGACGAAUAAGUUCGAUAAAUGAUUCUAAAAAGUUUUCACCUCGAAAAGUAUUUCAACGUUUCCGCUACGCGAUUUACGAAAAGCGAUUUAACUAAAAUGCCUUGCGGGUUUUUAGGAUGUAAACUGAACAUUUAGUUUAUGUCUUAGAGACACGCGGCACUGUGACGUGCUCAAGCUGAUGAGGUGCAGUUUGGGGCGU